CCUACGGGUGGCAGCAGUGGGGGAUAUUGCACAAUGGGGGAAACCCUGAUGCAGCGACGCCGCGUGUGGGAAGACGGUCCUCUGGAUUGUAAACCACUGUCCCCCGGGACGAAGAUGACGGUACCUGGGGAGGAAGCUCCGGCUAACUACGUGCCAGCAGCCGCGGUAAUACGUAGGGCGCGAGCGUUGUCCGGAAUUACUGGGUGUAAGGGGAGCGUAGGCGGGGAUGCAAGUUGGGUGUCAAAACUACCGGCUAAACUGGGAGUCGCACUCAAAACUGCAGCUCUUGAGUGAAGUAGAGGCAGGCGGAAUUCCUAGUGUAGCGGUGAAAUGCGUAGAUAUUAGGAGGAACACCAGUGGCGAAGGCGGCCUGCUGGGCUUGUACUGACGCUGAGGCUCGAAAGUGUGGGGAGCAAACAGGAUUAGAUACCCGGGUAGUC
rnacentral:rRNA from 1 species